UACGUAGGGGGCUAGCGUUGUCCGGAAUCAUUGGGCGUAAAGCGCGUGUAGGCGGUCCGGUAAGUCCGCUGUGAAAGUCGGGGGGUCAACCCUCGGAUGCCGGUGGAUACUGUCGGGCUUGAGUACGGAAGAGGCGAGUGGAAUUCCUGGUGUAGCGGGUGAAAUGCGCAGAUAUCAGGAGGAACACCAAUUGCGAAGGCAGCUCGCUGGGACGUUACUGACGCUGGAGACGCGAAAGCGUGGGGAGCAAACAGG
rnacentral:rRNA from 1 species